rnacentral:lncRNA from 1 species
GGGGCCAGAAGCAGCUAUGGCAGCUGAGAUAUGGAGCCAGGAAUCUGAGAACGGGGAGGCGACUUGAGCCGCUUCCCGGAACAGGCCAGGACACAGGGAUGAUGUUCUGCGGGUGAGGCUGCGCUGUGCCAGGCUAGGCCCUGGACACAUCUGGAUGCUUAACCCC